rnacentral:lncRNA from 1 species
ACACACACACACACACACCUUGACAAUGUAAUCCUUGAAUUUUUUGUUAUUUUUGAAAUACACCAUAUUUAUUGUAAAUAGCUUACAAUUAGCUGCAGCACUCUUUGAACUCAAACAUAAUUGUUUUAGGUUUGGAGGCACAUGCGAAGCUUUGUUUCAUAGGUAAACACAUGUCAUGGUAGUUUGUGGUACAUAUUAUUUCAUCACCUAGGUAUUAAACCCAAGUACCCAAUAGUUAUAUGUGACCUAGAGCAAAGAGUAAAAUAAAUCAACAAAAUGUGACCCUGGAAUGAAACAGAUGGUCAAAUUUAUAGAUAAUGACAUGAAACAGUUAUUAAAAUAUAUAUUUCCUAUGUGCAAAAAAGUAGAGGAUAUUAUGACUAUGUUAUGGAGAGACAUCAAAGGGAUGGAGAAAUUAAACCUCAGAGAAUAGAAAGUACAGUUUGUGAGAUAACAUUUCACUACAUGCCAUUAAAAGCAGAUUAGACGUCCCAACAGAGUGGAGUAUUUAACUUGAAUUAUAGCAAGAAAAAAGAACAAAAAUACUGAGCAAUGCAUCAAAGAGUUUUGGCAAAAUUUUCUUAAGUAGGACACUGGAAACAUAAACCACAAAAUGGAAAAAAAUAGAUGAAAAUUCGACUUCAUAAGAAAUAAAAACUUCUGAUAUUUGAAAGAUACUCAAAAAAGAAAUGGAAAAACAAGCUACAAAUGACAUAUUUGAUAUAUAUUGGACAAAUGAUAUCAAAUGAUAUAUUUGACUUAGGAAUUAUAACCACAGUAUGUAAAGAACAUCCAAAACUCCAUUAGAAAACAAGCAAUCCAAUUUAAUGUCCAAUUUAAAAAAAUUGGCAAAAUAUCAGGACAAGAAAGUCAAGGAAGAGAUAAGAAUGGCAAUUAAGAAAAUGAAAAAAUACUCAAUGUUGUUAGAAACUGGGAAAAUGCAAAUUAAAAGCAAAAUAAUAUAUCAUUACACAAUAAUUAGAAUAGUUCAGAAACUUCUUAAAAAAGAAAAACCUAAAUACUGGAAGGAUAUGAAACAACUGAAAGUCAUACACAUUGCUGAUGGAGUGUGAAAUAAAACAACCGCUUUGCAAAGUAUUUGCUGGAUAGAAUCUUAUAGAAUUCUAAUUUUUUAAAUGUAUGUAUUACUAUUGUUAACUUGCACAAGAUUUUUCUAAAUGUGUACUCACAUGUUAAACAGAAGCUUUGCUAAUUAUUUUAUUUACUUAUUUAUUUAUCAUCUCAGAUUGUCUAUCUGGAAUUAUCUUUUGUUUUACUUAUAUACAUUCUUAACAAAUUUUUAUAUUCUUGUAAAGUUUCUUGAUUUUGUUUAUCUGAUCAUGAUUUUGUUUUAGUUAUAAUCUAGGAUUAAAAGUUUGGUCAGAAAUAUUUUCUUAGUACAAUAAAGACAUUUAUUCUAAUAUCUUCUAGAUAUCAUUGUUGCUUUUACUAAGUUGGUUUUCAGUUUCAGUGAUAUUUUUGCACAUAAUUUUUUGUUUGGUUGAUUUUUCUAUUCUGAGACUUUUUUUCUUUUGGAGUUUAGCGAAUUUAUUCUGAUGUGUUAGAGUGUGGGUUUUCUUGGGUAUUUUUAAGAUUCCUAGAUCUAAGAAUUAUUUUUAUACCAUUAUGGAAAUGUCUUAGUAAUAUAUUAUUAAAUAUUCCAUUUUUCUCCAUUCUUUCUAUGAUCUCCUUCAGAAAACCCAAUUAUAACUGUUGAUGGCCUUGUUAUGCUAGCCUGUAAAUCCCCUAACCUCUUUGUCAGGUUUUACUUACCUUUGUCUCUCUGAGGCACAUUUUGGUUAUUAUGUUUCCUGUGUAGCUUCUACUCCUUCUCAACUCUGUUUGUAAUUUUAAUCGGUUCACUGAAUUUCACAUUUUACUUAUUUAAUUCUAUAAGUUGUAUAGUUGUACUUUUAUACUACUUAGACUUUUAUGUAGUCUUUUUUAUUUUUCAAGCUGAACUUUUAAAAUUUAAAUUU